ACAGUCUUUGUCUCAAAGGGAAACGGCGUUGGUCUCCCAGUCUGUUGGUGAUUCUGCUACUUCAUCAGAGCCUGGGAGUAAACGUGGUCCUGUGACAAGUGCAGCAGAAC
ensembl:miRNA gga-mir-6683 gga-mir-6683